UGGAUUCUUGGCCAGCUAGCACACACGCGCGUGAGGCCACUCAUAACCACACUCAUCCCACUCUGCCAAAUCCACACAAAAAUCCACUCUAAAAAUCUCUCAAAUCCACUCCCAACGUCUCUCACACUUAACCACCAAAUCCAUAAAAAUCUCACAAAAAUCUCUGAGACAUCCCUAAAAAUUCCUUUCAUCUCUCACACCUCAAAAGCUCACACUCCACUCACUCUCUCGGAUCCCUUCCACGCUCACUCCAACAGAAAAAAGAAGAAAAAAAUCUGUCUUCAUCUCACAAACCCAUACGAAAACUACCACUCCCCUCCAUCCACCGUCAAAAUCGCCGUACAACCCUUCACCAUCAACCGUCCAUCUUCCUCUCCGUUCCGAUUCACUCUCAAAACCAACCUUUACACCACUCAAACAACCACACAACACACGUCGCCGACAAAGAUCCUUCUCCAACCGCCGCGAGCUAAAGUCGACAAACACCACCGUCGAAAACUCAAAACCGCGAAAACAAACCGUUAAUCAACAAGAACCACCCUCAAAACAACAAGAUUCGGCGACGGACUCCUUCCGUACGCACGUCAACCGCUCACUGGCACACCCUUCCGCCGACAACCUCCACCGUUGCGCAUUCCAUAAUCUUUCCAACCUUCUUCCGACUUCUUCCGCUACCGCCAGAAAAUGAAGAAACAUAGCUACCACCUAUCCAAACGCCGACCUCCGUCAUAUAUGCUCCGAGCUGCAACUCCUACGAUCUCCCUCUACAAAGACUCAUUCAUAGAUACACACGACAACUUCCGCGAUAUGUUGAUUUUUGUUCGUGCAUUAGUUGGGCUGGACUCGACAAGUUCAAUUUUGUAGCCGGAUCAUUGAGAUAUGGCAUAUAUUGUUAUUGUGGGAAUUAUGAAUUGAAAUCCUGCAACUCACUUCGUAUGCUAUUGUUAUGGAUACUGUGAAUAAAUAGUACAUGAUAAUUAUGUGGUUUUUGUUCAUACACUAUUUUAGUUUUAUUAGCAUAUCAUGGCUUUAUAGAAACUUUAUGUUGUGUUCAAUAGUUUAAUAAGGGUUCCAUCCUGCUUUUAGUUGGUUUAUGAGUCUCCACACAUCUAGUAAAAUAAUUCUAUAUUGUUGUAAAUAAUGCAAAAUUGUUUUUCUGUGGUAAAAUCAGAGUUUUAUUCUUGGAUUCGACAA